ACCAAACCUAGCCCAACAUUUAUCAAACCUAAACAUUUUAAACAAUAAAACAAAACAUUUAAACUAAAGAGUAUAGGAGAUAGAAAUUUAUAUAAGAGCUAUAGAGAUAGUACCGUAAGGGAAAGAUGAAAGAGUAAACAAAAUAACAAUAGUACAGAACAGCAUAGAUUACACCUAGUACCUUUUGCAUAAUGAAUUAGCCAGAAACUCUUGACAAAAAGAACUUUAAGCCAAAUCCCCCGAAACCAAACGAGCUACUUUUAAACAGCUAAAAUGAGCAAACUCAUCUAUGUGGCAAAAUAGUGAGAAGAUUUAAAAGUAGAGGUGAAAAGCCUAACGAGCUUGGAGAUAGCUGGUUAUCCAAACAAGAAUUUAAGUUCAACAAUAAGUAUUUCCUAAAAAAUCUAAAAAUUAUAAUGAAAACUUAUAUGUUAAUUUAAUGAGGGACAGCUCCUUAAAUAAGGAUACAACCUUAAACAGAGGGUAAAUAAUACAAUAACCAUAGUAGGCCUAAAAGCAGCCAUCAACUAAGAAAGCGUUCAAGCUCAACAAUAAUUUUCAAUAUUAUCCCUAGAUACAUUAACCAACCCCUGUUCAAAAAAUUGGAUUAAUCUAUAAAAAUAUAGAAGAAACAAUGCUAAUAUGAGUAACAAGAAAUAAUUCUCCUUGCACAAGCUUAAACUAAAAACCAAUAAGUUAACAAUCUUAUAAAAAUAAACCUAACUAGUUUACUAUUAUAAAUAUUGUUGAUCCAACACCGGAGUGCAAUAAGGAAAGACUAAAAUAGGUAAAAGGAACUCGGCAAACACAAACUCCGCCUGUUUACCAAAAACAUCACCUCUAGCAUGACAAGUAUUAGAGGCACUGCCUGCCCAGUGACAAUCAAAGUUCAACGGCCGCGGUAUCCUGACCGUGCAAAGGUAGCAUAAUCACUUGUUCUUUAAAUAAGGACUGGUAUGAACGGCUUAACGAGAGUUUAACUGUCUCUUACCUAUAGUCCGUGAAAUUGACAUCCCCGUGAAGAGGCGGGAAUAAUAUAAUAAGACGAGAAGACCCUAUGGAGCUUUAAUUUAUUAAUUCAUUUUUACAAUACCAAAUCAAUAAGAAAUAAAAAACAAAUUAUGAAUUAAUAAUUUUGGUUGGGGUGACCUCGGAGUAAAAAUUAACCUCCGAAUGAUAUUAACCUAGACUCACAAGUCAAAGUUACCAUCAUAAAUUGACCCAGAAAUAAUCUGAUCAACGAACCAAGUUACCCUAGGGAUAACAGCGCAAUCCUAUUUUAGAGUCCAUAUCGACAAUAGGGUUUACGACCUCGAUGUUGGAUCAGGACCCCCAAAUGGUGCAACCGCUAUUAAAGGUUCGUUUGUUCAACGAUUAAAGUCCUACGUGAUCUGAGUUCAGACCGGAGUAAUCCAGGUCGGUUUCUAUCUAUUUUAAAUUUCUCCCAGUACGAAAGGACAAGAGAAAUUAGGCCAAUGAGAUAAUCAUGCCUUAAUAGCAAAAGAAUGAUAUUAUAUCAAUUCUAUAGCUAUUAAUAACCAAAACCCUAGAUAAGGGUUU
rnacentral:rRNA from 1 species